rnacentral:rRNA from 1 species
UACGGGGGGAGCAAGCGUUGUUCGGAUUUACUGGGCGUAAAGGGCGCGUAGGCGGCCACCGCAAGUCGACUGUGAAAUCUCCGGGCUUAACCCGGAAAGGUCAGCCGAUACUGCGGGGCUAGAGUGCAGAAGGGGCAACUGGAAUUCUCGGUGUAGCGGUGAAAUGCGUAGAUAUCUGGAGGAAUACCGGUGGCGAAGGCGGCAUCCUGGAUCGGCAUUGACGCUGAUGAGCGAAAGCUAGGGGAGCAAACGGG